rnacentral:rRNA from 1 species
AUGGCGGAGUCGCCCGAGAACACCGCCGCGGCACCCGCGCCCGCGCCACCCGCCUCUCCCGCCCCCUUGACGCCAAGUGGGACGCCUGCCUCGACCUCUCCAUCCGCCGUGUCGCCUACUCCUCCCUCACGGGCGCCUUCGGAGGCCUCAUCCUCUUCCGUAAGCCCCCAACCCCAUCCGCCUCACCUCUCCAUUCCCCUCGCUGCAUCACGAGAUCUGUUCGUCACACCUCCAUUGAUUGUUUCCUGCGUGAUUGGAGCCCCAAAUUUGCGUUGA